rnacentral:rRNA from 1 species
AACGCGAAGAACCUUACCAAGGCUUGACAUACACCGGAAAGCAUUAGAGAUAGUGCCCCCCUUGUGGUCGGUGUACAGGUGGUGCAUGGCUGUCGUCAGCUCGUGUCGUGAGAUGUUGGGUUAAGUCCCGCAACGAGCGCAACCCUUGUCCCGUGUUGCCAGCAAGCCCUUCGGGGUGUUGGGGACUCACGGGAGACCGCCGGGGUCAACUCGGAGGAAGGUGGGGACGACGUCAAGUCAUCAUGCCCCUUAUGUCUUGGGCUGCACACGUGCUACAAUGGCCGGUACAAUGAGCUGCGAUACCGCGAGGUGGAGCGAAUCUCAAAAAGCCGGUCUCAGUUCGGAUUGGGGUCUGCAACUCGACCCCAUGAAGUCGGAGUCGCUAGUAAUCGCAGAUCAGCAUUGCUGCGGUGAAUACGUUCCCGGGCCUUGUACACACCG